rnacentral:rRNA from 1 species
CGCUGGCGGCGUGCCUACCAUGCAAGUCGAGCGAGAAGUCCCUUCGGGGGCGAGUAGAGCGGCGGACGGGUGAGUAAGACGUGGAUAAUCUCCCCUCGAGCUUGGGAUAACCCCGCGAAAGUGGGGCUAAUACCGGAUAAGACCACGGCUUCUUCGGGGGCUGCGGUAAAAGGUGGGGACCUUCGGGCCUACCGUCAUUGGAUGAGUCCGCGUACCAUUAGCUAGUUGGUGGGGUAAGAGCCUACCAAGGCGACGAUGGUUAGCUGGUCUGAGAGGAUGAUCAGCCACACUGGAACUGAGACACGGAGCUGACUACUACCAUGCAGCA